GGUUGUGGCUCAGUGGUAGAGUGCUCACCUAACACAUGUGAGGUACUGGAUUCAAUCCUCGGCACCA
rnacentral:tRNA from 1 species